rnacentral:rRNA from 1 species
GAUAAACGCUGGCGGCGUGCAUAACACAUGCAAGUCGAACGAUGAACCUUAUUAGAUUUCUUCGGAAUGAAAUUAAGCGGAUUAGUGGCGAACGGGUGAGUAACACGUGAGUAACCUGCCUUACACAAGGGGAUAGCCUUUGGAAACGAAGAAUAAUACCCUAUAAAGUCAAAAUAUCGCAUGAUAUAGUGACCAAAGAUUUAUCGGUGUAAGAUGGACUUGCGUCUGAUUAGCUAGUUGGUGAGAUAAAAGCCCACCAAGGCGACGAUCAGUAGCCGGCUUGAGAGAGUGUACGGCCACAUUGGGACUGAGACACGGCCCAAACUCCUACGGGAGGCAGCAGUGGGGAAUUUUGCACAAUGGGGGAAACCCUGAUGCAGCGACGCCGCGUGAUUUAGAAGGCCUUCGGGUUGUAAAAAUCUUUUUUAUGGGAUGAAAAUGACAGUACCAUAAGAAUAAGGUCCGGCUAAAUACGUGCCAGCAGCCGCGGUAAUACGUAUGGACCGAGCGUUGUCCGGAAUCAUUGGGCGUAAAGGGUACGUAGGCGGCCUAGUAAGUUAGAAGUGAAAUAAUAUAGCUCAACUAUAUAAAGCUUUUAAAACUGUUAGGCUUGAGAGAUGAAAGGGAAAGUGGAAUUCCUAGUGUAGCGGUGAAAUGCGCAGAUAUCAGGAAGAAUACCGGUGGCGAAGGCGACUUUCUGGUCAUCAUCUGACGCUGAGGUACGAAAGCGUGGGUAGCAAACAGG